CCCGUGCUAGGCCGGUCUCGGGGCCCCUGGGGGGCCGGGGGGAGGGCGCGGCACCGCCGCCUCCCUCCGCGAUCUGGAAAAAACACGUCACAGCUUUUGUUCUCAUCGGAAAAGCAGGGCUUGGCCGCAACGAGAACACUUCAGAGGAAGUGUCUGGUUUCUUUGUGUUUUGGGUUUUCUUGCCUUUUUUUUUUUUUUUUUUUUUUUUUUUUUUUUUUUUGCGUAUUUAUACACAUUUAUCAACAGUCAACAAAAAAGGCGGCAAGUUACACAUCCAUUCUGUAUGCUAAGGAUGAUGCGUAUACAUAUAGCCACAUAACAGAGUAGAUGACCUGAAGGAGCUA
rnacentral:lncRNA from 1 species